CCUACGGGUGGCAGCAGUGGGGGAUAUUGCACAAUGGGGGGAACCCUGAUGCAGCGACGCCGCGUGGGGGAAGAAGCGUUUCGGAGUGUAAACUCCUUUUAGCAGAGAAGAUAAUGACGGUAUCUGAAGAAUAAGCACCGGCUAACUACGUGCCAGCAGCCGCGGUAAUACGGAGGAUCCGAGCGUUACCCGGAUUCACUGGGUUUAAAGGGAGCGUAGGCGGGAUGGUAAGUCAGUUGUGAAAGCCUACGGCUUAACCGUAGAAUUGCAGUUGAAACUGGCAGUCUUGAGUACAGGAGAGGUAGGCGGAAUUCGUGGUGUAGGGGUGAAAUGCGUAGAGAUCACGAAGAACACUGAUUGCGAAGGCAGCUCGCUGGACUGCAACUGACGCUGAGGCGCGAAAGUGUGGGUAGCAAACAGGAUUAGAUACCCUUGUAGUC
rnacentral:rRNA from 1 species